AUUGAACGCUGGCGGCAGGCCUAACACAUGCAAGUCGAGCGGAUGAAGGGAGCUUGCUCCUGGAUUCAGCGGCGGACGGGUGAGUAAUGCCCAGGAAUCUGCCUGGUAGUGGGGGAUAACGUCCGGAAACGGGCGCUAAUACCGCAUACGUCCUGAGGGAGAAAGUGGGGGAUCUUCGGACCUCACGCUAUCAGAUGAGCCUAGGUCGGAUUAGCUAGUUGGUGGGGUAAAGGCCUACCAAGGCGACGAUCCGUAACUGGUCUGAGAGGAUGAUCAGUCACCCUGGAACUGAGCCACGGUCCAGACUACUACGGGAGGCCGCAGUGGGGAAUAUUGGACAGAGGGCGAAAGCCUGAUACAGCGAUGCCGCGUGUGUGAAGAAGGUCUUCGGAUUGUAAAGCACUUUAAGUUGGGAGGAAGGGCAGUAAGUUAAUACCUUGCUGUUUUGACGUUACCAACAGAAUAAGCACCGGCUAACUUCGUG
rnacentral:rRNA from 1 species